AUCUUUUUAGUAUAAAAAGUACAUUUAGCUUCCAACUAAAAAGUUUAAAACCUUAAAAAAGAUA